GAGGAAUAUUGGUCAAUGGGCGAGAGCCUGAACCAGCCAAGUAGCGUGCAGGAUGACGGCCCUAUGGGUUGUAAACUGCUUUUGUAUGGGGAUAAAGUCAAUCACGUGUGAUUGUUUGCAGGUACCAUACGAAUAAGGACCGGCUAAUUCCGUGCCAGCAGCCGCGGUAAUACGGAAGGUCCGGGCGUUAUCCGGAUUUAUUGGGUUUAAAGGGAGCGUAGGCUGGAGAUUAAGUGUGUUGUGAAAUGUAGACGCUCAACGUCUGACUUGCAGCGCAUACUGGUUUCCUUGAGUACGCACAACGUUGGCGGAAUUCGUCGUGUAGCGGUGAAAUGCUUAGAUAUGACGAAGAACUCCGAUUGCGAAGGCAGCUGACGGGAGCGCAACUGACGCUGAAGCUCGAAGGUGCGGGUAUCGAACAGGAUUAGAUACCCUGGUAGUCCGCACAGUAAACGAUGGAUGCCCGCUGUUAGCGCCUGACGUUAGCGGCUAAGCGAAAGCAUUAAGCAUCCCACCUGGGGAGUACGCCGGCAACGGUG
rnacentral:rRNA from 1 species